GGUAGUGGGGGACGAACGUUUCGAAAGGAACGCUAAUACCGCAUACGUCCUACGGGAGAAAGCAGGGACCUUCGGGCCUUGCGCUAUCAGAUGAGCCUAGGUCGGAUUAGCUAGUUGGUGAGGUAAUGGCUCACCAAGGCGACGAUCCGUAACUGGUCUGAGAGGAUGAUCAGUCACACUGGAACUGAGACACGGUCCAGACUCCUACGGGAGGCAGCAGA
rnacentral:rRNA from 1 species